GACGAACGCUGGCGGCGUGCCUAAUACAUGCAAGUUCGAGCGGACCAUCAGGAGUGCUUGCACUCCUGACGGUCAGCGGCGGACGGGUGAGUAACACGUAGGUAACCUGCCCGUAAGGCCGGGAUAACAUCCGGAAACGGAUGCUAAUACCGGAUACGCAAUUCCUUCGCAUGGGGGGAUUGGGAAAGGCGGUUCCGAUUGAAUUC
rnacentral:rRNA from 1 species